rnacentral:rRNA from 1 species
CCUACGGGAGGCAGCAGUAGGGAAUCUUCCACAAUGGGCGAAAGCCUGAUGGAGCGACGCCGCGUGGGCGAUGAAGGCCUUCGGGUUGUAAAGCCCUUUUCUGGGGGACGAGGAAGGACGGUACCCCAGGAAUAAGUCACGGCUAACUACGUGCCAGCAGCCGCGGUAAAACGUAGGUGGCAAGCGUUAUCCGGAAUCACUGGGCGUAAAGGGCGUCUAGGCGGACGGGUAGGUCGUGCGUGAAAGCUUCCGGCUCAACCGGGAGAGGUCGUACGAUACUGCCUGUCUUGAGGGUCGGAGAGGGACGUGGAAUUCCCGGUGUAGCGGUGGAAUGCGUAGAGAUCGGGAGGAACACCAGUGGCGAAGGCGGCUCUCUGGCUCAUUCCCGACGCUGAGUGCGCGAAAGCGUGGGGAGCAAACGGGAUUAGAUACCCCUGUAGU